GCUGUUUAUUCAAUAUUCUUUUAAGCAAUUGACCCUGUGUUGUAUCAUCUUAAUACAGAGAGAACAUUUGUAUUUUUUCUUUCUUUUUAUAUAAAGCUUUCUUUUAAGACCUGUUGGAGUUUUUCUUUACUUCAGGAAAAUUGAGUCUGUACUCACCAGGGAAUUGGUGGGAGAAAGAAAUCAGGGGAGGUCUGUGUGUGUUGAAUUGGCUAGCCUGAUUUUGCAUUUCCUCUGGGUGAAUAGGAAAGUCCUUUUUGUUCCCAGGACUGGGGAACGGAGAGGGGGAAUCACUCUGUGUAGUUUCACAGAGCUUGUGUCUGUGUGUGUUGAAUUGGCUAGCCUGAUUUUGCAUUUCCUCUGGGUGAAUAGGAAAGUCCUUUUUGUUCCCAGGACUGGGGAACGGAGAGGGGGAAUCACUCUGUGUAGUUUCACAGAGCUUGUGUCUGUGCAUCUCUCCAGGAGCACCUGGAGGGGGGAAGGGAAAUAGGAUUAUUUCCCUUUGUUGUGAGACUCAAGGGAUUUGGGUCUUGGGGUCCCCAGGGAAGGUUUUUCAGGGGGACCAGAGUGCCCCAAAACACUCUAAUUUUUUGGGUGGUGGCAGCAGGUACCAGGUCCAAGCUGGUAACUAAGCUUGGAGGUUUUCAUGCUAACCCCCAUAUUUUGGACGCUAAGGUCCAAAUCUGGGAAUAAGGUUAUAACAACCCCCCCCCUCAGUGUUGUCCCUGUGGUAACGUGACCUAAGGUAUGUCAACUCCUGCUAUGUUAUUCACGUUGCUGCAGUUGUGUAGCAUAGGUCGAUUUAUCGUGGCAGUGUAGACAGCCGACCCCAGCACUUUCUCAUUCAUUGCUGAACCUGGCAAUAAGCAUUUGACAAAAGCCGUUGGCAGGGCCCACCGUUGGCAGCUCUCCCAUUGCACGCAGAGCUCAGCCCCUUAGCCCAGCAGAAGCGGGGCAAGGCCCCUAGAGCCAAGCAGUGACCAGCAAAGGUCGCUGGGGGCCCGGCUGGGCUUGUGGCGCUCCCGCGCUGCGGUGUCCAAACUAGCGUCGUGCCGCCCGGCCUCGUUCACGAGGCAGAGCUGAUCCGUGCCCGCUCCCGGUGGCCGGGGACGGCUCGAGAGUGCCCUGAGCGGGGCGAGCGGCGACAUCCCGAGGUGCAGCUUGGGGGAGCUGAGUCCCCCCCGCCCCAUGACGUGUUGGCGUCUGUCUCUGCACAGGACAAGAGUCGUUUUCGUAACGCACCGCAACAGCCCACAGUGACGGCAGCAAGAAGCCCGCCGCUACGUCACGCGACGCCUCCCCGCCGAGCGUCGUCCAUCCCAACCGGGGCGGUGGAGAUUGCGCAUGCGUGGGCAAUCUCACUCGC
rnacentral:lncRNA from 1 species